AAAAGAAUGAAUCCAGCACAACAAAGAUCUGCUCUUUCCCAGAUGAAUGGAAGUGGUGGGGGAAGGGGAAAUAAUGAACAACAUAAACUGAUGAACAAAAACAGACCCGGAGACAGGGAAGCAUCGAUCAGACUGUCAAACCUCAGAAGGAAGUUUUGGCAGAGAUAAACCAUUCCUUCAAAAUCCCCUGAUUCCUCAUCAUUCCCUAUAACAGCAAG